UGCAAGUCGUGCGGUAGAAGGCUUCGGCCUUUGAGAGCGGCGGACGGGUGAGUAACACGUGGGAAUCUGCCUAUUAGUGGGGGACAGCCCAGCGAAAGCUGGAUUAAUACCGCAUACGCCCUACGGGGGAGAGCAGCAAUGCGCUAAUAGAUGAGCCCGCGUAAGAUUAGCUAGUUGGUAAGGUAAAGGCUUACCAAGGCGACGAUCUUUAGCUGGUCUGAGAGGAUGGCCAGCCACAUCGGGACUGAGACACGGCCCGGACUCCUACGGGAGGCAGCAGUCGGGAAUAUUGGACAAUGGGCGCAAGCCUGAUCCAGCAAUACCGCGUGUGUGAAGAAGGCCUGCGGGUUGUAAAGCACUUUCAGUUGGGAAGAUAAUGACGUUACCAACAGAAGAAGCACCGGCUAACUCCGUGCGAGCAGCCGCGGUAAUACGGAGGGUGCAAGCGUUAAUCGGAAUUACUGGGCGUAAAGCGUGCGUAGGCGGCCUGUUAAGUCAGAUGUGAAAGCCCCGGGCUUAACCUGGGAACUGCAUCUGAUACUGGGAGGCUAGAAUGUGGGAGAGGAGAGUGGAAUUUCCGGUGUAGCGGUGAAAUGCAUAGAGAUCGGAAGGAACACCAGUGGCGAAGGCGGCUCUCUGGACCAACAUUGACGCUGAGGCACGAAAGCGUGGGUAGCAAACAGGAUUAGAUACCCUGAUA
rnacentral:rRNA from 1 species